rnacentral:misc_RNA from 1 species
GAUGAAGAACGUAGCGAAAUGCGAUAAGUAGUGUGAAUUGCAGAAUUCAGUGAAUCAUCGAAUCUUUGAACGCACAUUGCGCCCUUUGGUAUUCCUUAGGGCAUGCCUGUUCGAGCGUCAUUUAAACCUUCAAGCUCAGCUUGGUGUUGGGUGACUGUCCGCUUCACCGCGGACUCGCCUCAAAAUUAUUGGCGGCCGGUACAUUGGCUUCGAGCGCAGCAGAAACGCGAACUCGGGCCCGUCGUAUUGGCUCCCAGAAGCUAUCUUCACAAUUUUGACCUCGGAUCAGGCAGGGAUACCCGCUGAACUUAAGCAUAUCAAUAAGCGGAGGA